rnacentral:rRNA from 1 species
AACGCGAAGAACCUUACCUGGGCUCGAAGCGCAGUGGAAUCCGGUGGAAACAUCGGCGCCCCUUAAAAGGCUGCUGCGGAGGUGCUGCAUGGCUGUCGUCAGCUCGUGUCGUGAGAUGUUGGGUUAAGUCCCGCAACGAGCGCAACCCUUAUCGUUAGUUGCCAUCGGGUCAAGCCGGGCACUCUAGCGAAACCGCCCAGGAUAACUGGGAGGAAGGUGGGGAUGACGUCAAGUCCUCAUGGCCUUUAUGUCCAGGGCUACACACGUGCUACAAUGGUCGGUACAAACCGUCGCAAACCCGCGAGGGGGAGCUAAUCGGACAAAGCCAUGCUCAGUUCGGAUUGCAGUCUGCAACUCGGCUGCAUGAAGCUGGAAUCGCUAGUAAUGGCGCAUCAGAUCGGCGCCGUGAAUACGUUCCCGGGCCUUGUACACACCGCGCAUA